rnacentral:rRNA from 1 species
GAUGAACGCUGGCGGCGUGCCUAAUACAUGCAAGUCGAGCGAACAGAUAAGGAGCUUGCUCCUUUGACGUUAGCGGCGGACGGGUGAGUAACACGUGGGUAACCUACCUAUAAGACUGGGAUAACUUCGGGAAACCGGAGCUAAUACCGGAUAACAUUUGGAACCGCAUGGUUCUAAAGUGAAAGAUGGUUUUGCUAUUACUUAUAGAUGGACCCGCGCCGUAUUAGCUAGUUGGUAAGGUAACGGCUUACCAAGGCAACGAUACGUAGCCGACCUGAGAGGGUGAUCGGCCACACUGGAACUGAGACACGGUCCAGACUCCUACGGGAGGCAGCAGUAGGGAAUCUUCCGCAAUGGGCGAAAGCCUGACGGAGCAACGCCGCGUGAGUGAUGAAGGGUUUCGGCUCGUAAAACUCUGUUAUUAGGGAAGAACAAAUGUGUAAGUAACUGUGCACGUCUUGACGGUACCUAAUCAGAAAGCCACGGCUAACUACGUG